CCCAACUUUUCCCAUCAACCGUUUUGCUUGAUCUUCUACAGAUCCAUCGUCUCUCACACAAAAAUGGAGACAUUUCCUUAAUCUAGCUAAAAGAAAGAACUCUCAGCUGAAGGAGCGAUUAUAUUUGUAGAGGCAAGACCUAUAGAAAAAGAAAAAAAAAGAAAAACGGUGCAGCAGAAAAGGGAAUCUGAUUGGGAACCAAAAUUGGGAUCUAAACGAAACAAAAAAAGGCGACGUCGAUUCCAAAAGAAAAGAGACCACUGUCUCAAAUUCCCAAAACAAUUUUGAGGACCCGUCAGAGGUUCGUCGGAGUUUCACCACUUCUGACGAGCUCUCUUUCACCAUAAAACGCAGCAGCUCAAUUGUUCUCUUAAUUUGAGUUCAGCCCGUGAAGGUCGUCGAGGUCACCGUGGUCUUGAGAAUAAAGUUGAUUCACUAAAGGUUAUACUUCAAGGCACAGGGUUCGAGAUGACCGUAAGAAGAUUUCUCAAUCCAGAAUAAAAAAAAAAGAAAGAACAAGAAAAGAAGUGAACUUCAAGUGCAAAAGCGAAGAAAAGAUGCAAACUGCUCAAGAUAUGAUUGAAGUUACGAGUUUUGCAUGUCCCGCCUUGAUCCGAAGAGCUGAAGAAAAAUGAACCAACAUUCGCAGCUAACGAACAUCAAGAAUCAGAUCAGAGUCUGCAGCAAGAACCAACCAAGACUCAAGAUCAAGCUUCAGAAAACUCAUAAAUAGGAAUCUUGUAACUCGUACCUCAUAAGCUUAGUUAGUCUUUUUCAUUUUUGAUGUAAUAACAGGACCGAGGACCGGAACCUCGACGGAAACUCAAUCGACUCUCGAACGCAUCACUCCAUCAUCCUUCCAGAAUACACCGACCUGAUUCCUUU